GAUGAACGCUAGCUACAGGCUUAACGCAUGCAAGUCGAGGGGAAACGACAUCGAAAGCUUGCUUUUGAUGGGCGUCGACCGGCGCACGGGUGAGUAACGCGUAUCCAACCUGCCCAUCACUUGGGAAUAACCUUGCGAAAGUAAGACUAAUACCCAAUGAUAUCCCACGAAGGCAUCGGAAUGGGAUUAAAGAUUUAUCGGCGAUGGAUGGGGAUGCGUCUGAUUAGCUUGUUGGCGGGGUAACGGCCCACCAAGGCAACGAUCAGUAGGGGUUCUGAGAGGAAGGUCCCCCACAUUGGAACUGAGACACGGUCCAAACGCCUACGGGAGGCAGCAGUGAGGAAUAUUGGUCAAUGGGCGAGAGCCUGAACCAGCCAAGUAGCGUGCAGGAAGACGGCCCUAUGGGUUGUAAACUGCUUUUAUAAGGGAAUAAAGUGGGUCACGUGUGACUUUUUGCAUGUACCUUAUGAAUAAGGACCGGCUAAUUCCGUG
rnacentral:rRNA from 1 species